ensembl:lncRNA
CCCAAAGGGAACUGAGGCAUUUAUCCACCAGCCCCCAUCAGCCAUUGGCUGAGGGCUGCUCCAGGGCUGGGACCAGGACUCCUUACAUCUUGUACACUGGACACCUUACUCGCCCCACCCUAGUCCCAGGCCCAGCUGCUCCUUGGUGCCACUGACUCCCUGACACUCUGGCCUGCUGUACCUAUGGACACAGAGGACCCUUUCAACCAAAACCUCCCGCCAAAAUUCAAGUCUCAGCCACAUGCCCAGCCCUACACCAAUCACUAAGCCAGGGGCUGUGAUGCUCUCAUUGGCCAGGCCCCAGUCACAUGCCCAGGCUAUGCCAAUCACUGGCCCUGGCAGCUGUGACGCACUCAUGGGCGGGCCCGCGUCGUGGCGGGGAGAGGAGUCUCCAGACGGAAGUGGGGUGCUGUUCUGAGAGAAAGAAGCAGCUUGGUGCUGGAUGAGAACCCGUGAACACCGAGGCUUCCCUCUGCCUCUCUGCUGACUGGUCCCUUAGCUCUGGGACGACUGAGAAGAGAACCCUGUUGACCAGGAAGGGCAGCCUUGGGAACCUAGCAAAAUGGGAAGGUCCGGGAAAUAUGGUAGACCAGGCAAGGAAAGACCGAGACUGGAAUGGCCAAACACCACACUAAGUGCUUUGAGGGAGACCGAGAUAAGCGUGCCGCAGCCCCCCACCCCACUCCCCUCUUGGGAGGAGAAAUCAGCCACAGGCAGAAGGACGAACACAGAAGGAAGCCCUGCCUACCAGGAGACAGAAUGUCAACCCUCUCCUCUUCCAGGCAACAAAAAGAAUUGCUUUGCCUGUCCAGCAUCCAUUCUCCAAUCCUGUGGUAACAGCACCCUAAUUUUUCUUUGGUAUCUCAACUUAGGCCACAUGGUUGAGGUGGCACCAGACUCCCAUCUAAGCUCCAGGAGUACCCUUGUUAUCUGGAUUUGACUUGUCAUUGAGUUCUACCACCGUCACGGUCACCCCACCACCAUCACCCCUUCAUAGUCAUUGGUUCAGAGUGGACACACUAUCUAAAUUGGUUCAAUCAGAUAACUCCAUGACUUUUUGGUGGACCACUGGGGAAUGGAGCAUUCUCUCUUCUCUGAAGUGGGAUCUACAAGGAUGUGAGCCUAGAGGCUGUUACAACCUGUCUGAGAAUAGAACCAGUGCUGAGGAAGCAGAGCCAAGAGAUAGAGAAAGCCUGAAUUUUGUGACAUCAUUUGAGCUCCUGGAUGUAGCCAUACCUGAAGCUCAACCUCAUUAGAGGUGGGUUUCUGACACCACCAAACAAAAGCAUUCGGACUGUCACAUGGAGGCUGAGCAAUACGAGCAUGAAGACCAGACAUCCUGAUUUCUAGUCCAGUGCUCUCACCCUGUAUUGUGUUCCAGAUGACUUUAUCCAACAGCACAUCCAAACUUGACUAAUUUAUGUGGCUUUAUGGUUUACUAAAAGAUGGAUUUUAAAAAAUAAAAACAUGUGAUCACAAUAGUGUUUUAUCCACUGAAUCACACAGCCAUGGAAGAGCCCCUGGAGAUCACAUCAUUGAGUGCUUUUCAAAGAUUUUUAGCAACUUCUUGUUUCAAAUGAAGUCUUAAGCAGAGCUCCUGUGUAUAAGAAAUAAAAGCAGUAUCUUGCUAGUGCAAAUGUAUUUUACCUUUUAAGUUAGAAGUUAUAACAUUUACUUUUUAUAAUCAAUGAAGACCCAAAUUUUAAUGUAUUUGUUUCCAAGGCAUAAAAAUUGGUUAUAUAGGAAAUUAAUAGAGAAAAUCAAUGAAAC